rnacentral:tRNA from 1 species
GGAUCCGUAGCUCAGUUGGUUAGAGCGCGCCGUUCACAUCGGCGAGGUCACUGGUUCGAGCCCAGUCGGGUCCACCA